rnacentral:rRNA from 1 species
AUUGAACGCUGGCGGCAUGCUUUACACAUGCAAGUCGAACGGCAGCGCGGGCUUCGGCCUGGCGGCGAGUGGCGAACGGGUGAGUAAUACAUCGGAACGUGCCCAGUAGUGGGGGAUAGCUCGGCGAAAGCCGGAUUAAUACCGCAUACGACCUGAGGGUGAAAGCGGGGGAUCUUCGGACCUCGCGCUAUUGGAGGGGCCGAUGGCUGGUUUGCUAGUUGGUGGGGUAAAGGCCUACCAAGGCGACGAUCUGUAGCUGGUCUGAGAGGACGACCAGCCACCCUGGGACUGAGACACGGCCCAGACUCCUACGGGAGGCAGCAGUGGGGAAUUUUGGACAAUGGGCGAAAGCCUGAUCCAGCAAUGCCGCGUGUGUGAUGAAGGCCUUCGGGUUGUAAAGCACUUUUGGCGGGAACGAAAAGGACUGUGCCAAUACCACGGUUCGAUGACGGUACCCGCAGAAUAAGCACCGGCUAACUACGUG